rnacentral:rRNA from 1 species
GCCAGACUCCUACGGGAGGCAGCAGUGGGGAAUAUUGCACAAUGGGGGAAACCCUGAUGCAGCGACGCCGCGUGAGUGAAGAAGUAUUUCGGUAUGUAAAGCUCUAUCAGCAGGGAAGAAAAUGACGGUACCUGACCAAGAAGCCCCGGCUAACUACGUGCCAGCAGCCGCGGUAAUACGUAGGGGGCAAGCGUUAUCCGGAUUUACUGGGUGUAAAGGGAGCGUAGACGGCUGUGCAAGUCAGAAGUGAAAGCCCGGGGCUCAACCCCGGGACUGCUUUUGAAACUGCGUGGCUGGAGUGCAGGAGAGGUAAGCGGAAUUCCUGGUGUAGCGGUGAAAUGCGUAGAUAUCAGGAGGAACACCAGUGGCGAAGGCGGCUUACUGGACUGUAACUGACGUUGAGGCUCGAAAGCGUGGGGAGCAAACAGGAUUAGAUACCCGAGUA